rnacentral:rRNA from 1 species
UACAGAGGUCUCAAGCGUUGUUCGGAUUCAUUGGGCGUAAAGGGUGCGUAGGUGGCGCCGUAAGUGGGUGUGAAAUUCGGAGCUUAACUCCGAACUGCAUUCAUACUGCGUGCUUGAGGACUGGGGAGAGACUGGAAUUCAUGGUGUAGCAGUGAAAUGCGUAGAGAUCAUGAGGAAGACCAGUGGCGAAGGCGGUCUCUGGACAGUUCCUGACACUGAGACACGAAGGCCAGGGAGGCAAACGGG